CAAUAGUUUUCGCCUUUUAAGUGAUGCUUUUGCUAUUUUAACGUGUGGAGGUUCAUUGUACGUCUGUUUUUUCAAGUUUGGCAUGUGUUUUAACACUUGUGAAGGUGUAUUCUUUUCUCCUUCAGCGGAUAUUUGUACAAGACCCCGUUCACCGUCUAUCAGCACUGCAGAGCACAGUGCUGCAAUUUUCUCUUUGUGCAGUUGGAAGAAAAUUAUUCCUGCAGUGGCAGCGACUACACAGAAAAUGCACCCUACGAGAGUGGACAGAGUUCCAAUGUGACUGUGGUUUGAAAUGGUCUAGCCCCUGUGUAUACAAGCACCGAUUUUCCCAGACAAGUGUGACAGUGCCUGGCUUUGAAUGCAGUGUGCUGCUUCAUAAAUAUUGCAGUUGCCCAGCGCUAAGCUGCCUGGAUUAUGUGGUUGCCAUAAUGACUUCUCUGUACCCGUGGGACAAAUAUUUGCACUCGAAAUAGCGACAGCAGCCAUGCAUUUCCUGCUGACAUAGAAUUAGGUUCCACAAUGUCAUCUGAUGCAUACACAUGCUGUGAUGUGGUUGGUGUGGCCAUGCUCUUUUUUCCUCCCUUCAAGUAUGCUGGUGAACUGCCACUAGUUACAGAUGUCUGCAAGGAGUGCGCACUGUGCGAGUGCUGCACGUGAAUUGAAAUUACGACCACCACAGUGAUGAUAAAGAACACAUUGAAAAGUAAUCUGACAACACUUAUCAAGACUGUCUACAAGCUUUCUGUGAGAGAUUUCCUCAGGGUUGACAAAAACCAUCUUAGGGACCAUUUAAUGGGGUGUUACCGCCCACAUUAUGAGAUGAAAGAAAAGGAAGCCAUUACGAUUUCUCUGGUGGUGCAAGGUGCUCUAAUAGAUGGCUUUGAAUUGCAAUAGACAUAAAUAUUAUCAUUCUA
rnacentral:lncRNA from 1 species